AGUAUCUAUAAGACAGCUCACAGGAUGUGGCUCAGAACAUUAUCUGUAGCCCUUGAGAGGGAACUAAAAUUCUUUGUCUUUGCUCAGUGACUAAACUAUUAUUGUUUUGUUCUGUUUGACUGCUUUUCUUUGCUCCUGCAUUUUUUCACUUCUCUGGUCAAACUUAUUCUUUGGCUAAAGUUUUCUACAGACAAAAGGCAGACUGAGGACAUGGGGGGCAAGGAUCAUAGGGUCCUGCUCCAUUUCAGAGAGAGGAGUUUCUUAGAGCUUCUGUCCUUCCAGCCACUUUCUGUGGCUCCACACACAGAGCGUGUUGAUGCCCUCCCCAAGCUCCGCACUGUGCCAUCCUGUCUGUGCUGCUGAGGCAGUGAAAACUGUAGGGAAGAGAAUCAGUACAAGAACACACAGCUUGAGUCUGCUGUUGCUGAUGAAACUGAGCGGUGUCCUGCGAUGGGAGCCACUCUUUCCCACGGUCUUUUUGGCCCCAGAUGCUGCGGAGAGGAGCUGGUUGGAUGUUUGUUGUCGUGGCUGGUGGUGAGAUCCGGAGCCGGAGCCUGGCGCAGGCUGAGGUCCUUGGACAGGGAGGUAGGUUGGCCUCAAGCUUGGCUCUGCAGCAGCAGCAGCAGCACGGUCGCCCUGAUGCCACCAAGUAUUCUGGCUACAGUGUGGCGGGUGCAGCCUCUGUUUGGUUUUAUGUACCCACCCCCAGAGAGGGGUGGCACUGCCCUCCUGCCAGCUGGCCUCCUUCACCAAACCCCAGGCCUGGGAAACCCCAGCUGGGCUGAGGGCUUUCCAGGGGGAUAUAACCUGCUGCAGCUCCUUGCUUCACAUGAAGUGGGAAGUGGGAAGGAAGAAGCUGACCCGGAGCAGAGAGAGGGUCCUGACACUCAGCCCUGACCCAAGUCUUCACCCUCACAGCAGCCGUGGCUGCCUUCCCUACUCACUGCAGAGGGCAGGAGGGAGGGCCGAAUUCCCUCCCCUGGUCCCUGUGAGACGACCAGCAUGGUGGGUGAGUCGGGGCAUUUGGCCCAAGUCUUGCAUCUCCUGUUUCCUGGAUGGUAGAUCCUUAUUUGAGUGAUUUAACCUGUAGGUUUCAUUUUCCCCAUAAACUGGACAACUCAGGGAGCUGGUGGGUGUUCCCCAACGUUUGGGGGCACAGCAGCCUGAGGUCCAGUUCCCCUUCCUGCCCAGAGUCUCAUGACAGGAAGGAUGGCUGGGAGGAGCAAAGGAGAGGGGCGCUGCAGGAUCAGGCCUCAUACCUGAGUUUGUUGGGGUGAAAGGUGCAUGAGGAUUUCUCAAGGACCAGAUGUGGAGUCAGGGGUAAACCCACCUGGGGACAAGGGCUGUGGUUUGUCUCCCGAGAAGACCUCCGCUCUGACAGGCUGUAAGGACUAAGCCAGGAGAGCCAGACUGGAGGCAUGGAAGGCAGGCCCCCACCACGGGAGUUGCAGUCUAUGGACCUACACAGGAUCCAGGGAGGAUGGGGAAGGGGACUUCAGUCAGAAGAGUGAGCAAAUGCAAAGUUUCAGAGGCAGGAAAGCACAGGGAGGAUUUCAGCGUUACCUAAUAGCCAGUAACCAUGUGUAUUGCUAAUUAUUUUCUACUGUGAUCACCUUCUUUUCCUCCUUUGACAUGGGGAAAGUACACAGCUUGACCAAGAGGCCACUGGG